rnacentral:lncRNA from 1 species
CUUAAAAGUCAUGUGAUGUUACAUAUAUAGGACGGGUGUGUUCGAUGCGUAAAUUUAUUAACAAAACACCGUCAUAUAACAUCCAACUUUGAAAUUGCAUCCAAAUGUCAAUUUUAGGUGUGCCACUUUGGGAAUGGUCUUAAACGAUUGACAAUUCAUUUCUCAAUUUUUGUAAUUUUCCCCAGAUUUUUUCUAUGUCGGGCAAAAAAAAGUAGCAGUUUUUAAGGAGACCCCCUAAAUGACGUAACAGCUUGACUUAUGGUCGUUUUACAAACGAUUGUUUGCAAGUUGCAUUGUUAACAAUUGUACAAUAUGAAAAUUAAACAACGUGAAUGCAAAUAUUUAUAAUGACUUUACGGAAAGUAACUUUUGUGACAUCUUGACAACCGUACACAAAGUUUGUUUCACUUUUCUACCUUCUAAACACAAGAGGUCGAAUUCUUUUGUUCUAAUUAAACCGCAUAUCGGACUGCAUAUAUUACCAAAAAAUAUGUAUAUAUUUUUUAUAUUCUGACAUUUUCUUUCUUUAUUCUCCCUAUAAUAGAUUCAUUAGAAAAUUAUAACUUAGGAUCAAAUUGCCCCAAAGAUUAGGCAAAUAUACAGUUUUCUGGAAUCACAUUCCCUUUUUUAAAUACUGGAUCUGCCCCUUCCCUCAAUCAUGAAAAUGAAAAAUUGUAAUAUAAUUAUUGUCAAAAGUCAAUUUGAUCAUGUAGAUAAUCAAAAUCCAUAAAUUUAGUAAUAUGAGGUUAAACACAAGCAUUUUUUAAUGUGACAUAGAGGGGGAUAGGACCUUUAAACAUAUCAUAAGUUAUUUUUUGUUUGAAGACUGAAAUUCGACCUCGUAACAUUUUUGGCUAUCCAUCCAUAUUAACUGAAAAAACAUGUAUGUCCGGGGAUUCUUUUUUUCAAAUUUCUGGAUGUCAGGAUUUAAAUUUAUUUAAAUUCGGGACCUCCGGAUUUCGGGAUUAGGAUCCCUCCUCCCCCCUCGACAUACCCAUUAAAAAUCUACUUUAGUUGAACUAAAUGCAUUGCUAUGACAAAUAAAAACAUUGUAUUGGAAAUGUAUUCUGAAUCAUCAAUAACACACUUUUUUGUACACCAGUCCUGAUAUAAUAAGUUAUAAUAACUUUGAACCUCUUAAACUUUUGUUUAUACCAUAGACUGAUAUGGCUUCUUGGGAUAAUAUCAGGAAUGAUAUGCAAAAUGAAAUACAAUAUUUCAUAGAUGUUUUACAAAAAUAUGUGCUAGUAAAAUUACAGAAAUGAUAUAUCAAACAUUAAAUUUACAUUAAAUUUAAAGAGUGUAUUAAAGCAAAGUUACCACUUUUCCAAAAAAACAUACAGAUUAAAGAAUAUUUCUUUUGUAUGCAGAUAUAAACCAAAAAAAAUGAAAAUAUGUUGUUAUUUUAUUCAAACAGUAAAAAACUCUCCUGCCAUUUAAUAUCAACUGUCAAAUAUUACAUCAUACAAAGGCAUUCAAUAUCAACUGUCAAAUAUUAAAUCAUACAAAGGCAUUCAGUAAAACUAUCAACAAAAGAGUUUUUUCUUUGAAUCAUCUAAUGUACACUGUACAUAGAAUAUAUGUCAAAUUGAACUCCAGCACUUACUUAUUUACAUCUUCACUAGCCAAGGGUUACAAUCUGAUCACCACCUCUUCAAAUAGAAUAUAUAAUUUAUAAACAAUUACCACAAACAGAUUGUGCA